AACGAACGCUGGCGGCAUGCCUAACACAUGCAAGUCGAACGAGACCUUCGGGUCUAGUGGCGCCCGGGUGCGUCACGCGUGGGAACCUGCCCUUAGGUUCGGAAUAACUCCCCGACAGGGGUGCUAAUACCGGAUAAUGUCUUCGGACCAAAGAUUUAUCGCGGUUGGUUGGGCCCGCGUUGGAUACGCUAGUUGGUAGGGUAAAAGCCUACCACGGGGACGAUCCAUAGCUGGUUUGGGAGGAUGAUCAGCCACACUGGGACGGAGACACGGCCCAGACUCCUACGGGAGGCAGCAGUGGGGAAUAGUGGACAAUGGGCGAAAGCAUGAAGCAGCAAUGCCGCGUGAGUGAUGAAGGCCGUAGGGUUGUAAAGCUCUUUUACCCGGGAUGAUAAUGACAGUACCGGGAGAAUAAGCUCCGGCUAACUCCGUG
rnacentral:rRNA from 1 species